CAUAAAGGUUGUAACUAGGUUUCAGUUGGGGAACUAUUUCAGCGUUCAUCG
rnacentral:rRNA from 1 species